rnacentral:rRNA from 1 species
CCUACGGGCGGCAGCAGUGGGGAAUAUUGGGCAAUGGGCGAAAGCCUGACCCAGCAACGCCGCGUGAAGGAAGAAGGCUUUCGGGUUGUAAACUUCUUUUGACAGGGAAGAGCAGAAGACGGUACCUGUCGAAUAAGCCACGGCUAACUACGUGCCAGCAGCCGCGGUAAUACGUAGGUGGCAAGCGUUGUCCGGAUUUACUGGGGGUAAAGGGCGUGUAGCCGGGCUGACAAGUCAGAUGUGAAAUCCGGGGGCUCAACCCCCGAACUGCAUUUGAAACUGUUGGUCUUGAGUAUCGGAGAGGCAGGCGGAAUUCCUAGUGUAGCGGUGAAAUGCGUAGAUAUUAGGAGGAACACCAGUGGCGAAGGCGGCCUGCUGGACGACAACUGACGGUGAGGCGCGAAAGUGUGGGGAGCAAACAGGAUUAGAUACCCCUGUAGUC